AAAGCUUUGCUGUCCAGCCUCCCCCAGGGGAAUCCUCUUCAAGUGUGGAAGUGCCCUCUUGCUAGCAGAAAACCUGCUUGUUGGAUUAAAAAGACAUACUGUGUAUAGACUUUACAUCACAGAAGUAAAACAUGAAUAAGAACAUUUUGAACCAGAUAUUAGUAGAUAGGCAACCCACAACUAGAACGUGGGAAAUGUUAGCAAUUCAGAAAGAAGCUGCUGCAAGUGUAUUUUCUGAAAGUUUAAAGAAGUUUCUCAAGUGGACAGCUCCAAGAUUCGCCGUCUUUAUGCUGAAGUUAUAAAGUUUUCUUCCUGAUAAGAAAUGUGUUAUUCUCUCA